UGUGUGUGUGUGUGUGUGUGUGUGUGUGUGUGUGUGUGUGUGUGUGUGUGUGUGUGUGUGUGUCCUCGUGCCUACAGAGCGUCCGACUGACAUGGCCAAUUAUUGGAAAUCGAGACCCAGAAAGGCACCGUCCCAAUCGCCGGGUGCCAUGUAACCCCCGGGACAUAGGCAGGGGAUGGGAGGCGCGCCACGGAUACCCGCCGCCACGGUACUUUGAGGACAUAGACCAUGGAUGUUAGGGAGGUGAUGGGUGCCCUGUAUCGAUGAAGAACUCCGUUCACCUGUCAUCCUGUGGGCCGUGAACCGUACAGCACACCAGCCUAUCACAGGUAAAAGGCGGCACCGGGAUGAACUUGCCACCAACACAGCAGUCAAAUCACUUCGCGGCACACCGCAGGGCCUCCACAUAGAAAGGUCUUCACACCCAGGCCGAGGGGAGGCACGCAGAACAAUGUUGUGACGUGCCUUGGUUUUUUUUGUCUCACGCGUCACCUAUGGAAUAACAGCUGCAGUACAUGCAGUACAAAAACAUGAGUCGGAUGAGCCGUUGUUCGCCGUCCCUUCACGCCACAAGGCAGCAAAACACCGAGACCUGACCUUCCAGCAACACUUGAAGCGUGAGCCUCACACCUGCAGAGCAAGACGGCACGCACUCCCCUCUCUUCCCUCCCCCGUUAUGUUGGCGGGACUCCGCAUCGAUAGCCAUGGAUUUCUGGUGACUGCCUGCUAGGCGAUCCAUUUCAUCAAGACAACAAUUCUUACACUCAUUGAAACUGCAGACGGUCACUGCUAAGGUUAUCAUUUCCUGUGGACUUCUGACAGGGAACAGAAAAUGAGGGAACAAACUGACACAGAUCCUAGUACUGAUUUCCUUUUGCAUACACCAACUAGAUAAAAAAAAAAAAUUCAUAUUAACACUUCACCCAAGGAAUGAAGUAAAUGGCUGACUCAUGUUCUCGUUGACUUGCAAGUCUUUUAGGUUAUUCAAACAAAAAUUGCACCUUUUUACUAAGUCAACUAUCAAAUUGUGAUGCUUCAACAGAGCGUUAGCAAGUCACCAAGGCAUAAUGUUAAAACUAUGUUCCUUAUGUGAACAUUGAAGUAAGCUUACUGGUGAGUAGUGUGAUAGCGCCGAGAUGUUCUGAAAGUUGCAACCCCUACUGUGAGGAUGCAGCAGGCACAGGUGAUGGAAGGUUAGGACACUGUCAAUAAGAAGUUUCCGGUGACACUUAUGACUCUCUGUCCAGUGUUGUAGGCGUAGCACAAUGAAGUUCCAAUAACAAACACAUGGAGGUUGUCUGUGUCUCUCCGGUCUGGUCAAUAACACGUGGGAUUUCUAUGACAGUCCUUGCAAUUUGAAUCACUCUUAAUGAACUCUGAUAUCAUCCAAACAAAUAAAAGUUAUUUUCACUUCAAGUAAUAAUUGUUUUCUAUACACUGUUUACAGGUAUGUUCUGCUUUUAAAUUACAGUUUUUGAAGUUGUCUUUCAAGACAGACCGUCAAUACAGGCUGAGUACACAUGAAUUAAAUAAGAUGACUGAGAAGACAGACUCCAGUUUGUCGAAUACCGUGGAGCGAAGCGUGUCUGUCGGCGGCGAGCCACCGCUUUGCUUUAGUCGGCGUGGAUUGAUGAAAAGAGUAUAACAAAAGCUGAUAAGAACACAGGAUUAGCCGAGACUUCUGAUAAAGGAGCCUGUUUAUCUCGGGAUCCGCGUAAGGUGAGGCAGAGUAUUAACAGCGAGAGGAGCAAGAGGCGUGAUGCGGGACUGAGGCGAGAAUGUACUGCACACGCUGCC
rnacentral:lncRNA from 1 species